rnacentral:rRNA from 1 species
UUAUAUUAAAAAAUUGAGUAGUAAAAGUAGUCUUGAAACUCAAAAGAUUUGGCAGUGUUUAAAUCUACUUAGGGGAACCUGUUUAAUAAUCGAUACCACACGAAAAUCUUACCUUAUUCUAGUUUGUAUAUCACCGUAGUAAUCAUACUUAAAAUUAAUGAUUAAUAAAUAUUUUAUUUAAAACUUCAGGUCAUGGUUCAGCUCAUAAAAAGGUUUAAAAUGGGUUACAAUAUUAAAAAUAUAUAACGAAAUAUUUGUUUAAAACAAAAAUGAAGGUGGAUUUAAAAGUAUUUUUAAAAUAAAAAAUUAAAAUGAAUUAGCUCUAAAACAUGC